rnacentral:rRNA from 1 species
UACGGAGGAUCCAAGCGUUAUCCGGAAUCAUUGGGUUUAAAGGUCCGUAGGCGGCCCAGUAAGUCAGUGGUGAAAUCUCCCCGCUCAACGGGGGAAACUGCCAUUGAUACUGCUGGGCUUGAAUUAUUGGGAAGUAACUAGAAUGAUGUAGUGUAGCGGUGAAAUGCUUAGAGAUUACAUGGAAUACCGAUUGCGAAGGCAGGUUACUACCGAAUACAUUGACGCUCGAUGGACG